UUCCCUCACCCUUUGCUUAUAUAAGAGGCCUCACAUUCCCUUCACUCACACAGAUUUUUACACGAAAGUACACUCUGAAGUUCACACUCUUUUCUUCAUUUUUGAGACUGGUUUUACACACUAAUUCCUGCAUUUUUUAGAGAUAUCCCAUUUUAGUCAUCUUCCUUCUCACUUUAUUGUUCUGAAGAUUCCAGCUCCCAUUUCUGCAUUUCAGAAGAAAGAACUUAGCUUCUAGCUUUUGUUCAUUUGCUGCAUAUUGCCUGGGUUUGUAGAAGUUGAUUGGGCUGUUUGAAGUGCUGAUUCUGUUGAUUCUAUUAGCAGCAGCUGAGGUCUUUUUAUCUGAUUCUUUGGUCCGUUAUUUCUCAGCUAUUUUUCUGCCUCUAGCAUAAGAGCGAAGCAAGGUGUGAGCCUGACCACCAGUUGGUCAGGUUUACAUGCAAGCAGGCUAAGAAAAAUUAGUUCAAAAGGUGAAGGAUGAUGACACUAUGUCUGCUGGCCCAAGUUGAAAGAAAGUUAUGGAUAACGUAGUGUAGAACUUGUAAAUUUUGUGCAAAUUAGUUAUUCAGAUUCUACAGUAAAGUUCAUGUAAAUAACUAUUUGUUUUCGAGUAAAGUAUCUCUGUUCCUUGAUGGUUUA